AAUAACGAUACGGGACUCUUACGAGGCCUC
rnacentral:sRNA from 1 species